GACGAACGCUGGCGGCGUGCCUAAUACAUGCAAGUAGAACGCUGAAGGAGGAGCUUGCUCUUCUGAAUGAGUUGCGAACGGGUGAGUAACGCGUAGGUAACCUGCCUGGUAGCGGGGGAUAACUAUUGGAAACGAUAGCUAAUACCGCAUAAGAGUAGAUGUUGCAUGACAUUUGCUUAAAAGGUGCAAUUGCACCACUACCAGAUGGACCUGCGUUGUAUUAGCUAGUUGGUGGGGUAACGGCUCACCAAGGCGACGAUACAUAGCCGACCUGAGAGGGUGAUCGGCCACACUGGGACUGAGACACGGCCCAGACUCCUACGGGAGGCAGCAGUAGGGAAUCUUCGGCAAUGGACGGAAGUCUGACCGAGCAACGCCGCGUGAGUGAAGAAGGUUUUCGGAUCGUAAAGCUCUGUUGUAAGAGAAGAACGAGUGUGAGAGUGGAAAGUUCACACUGUGACGGUAUCUUACCAGAAAGG
rnacentral:rRNA from 1 species